GUGUGUGGCUCUGUGACAGGGUCCAACAGGGCCUGGUCUGUGUCCGGCCCCCCAAAUCUGUCGUCCCUGCCCCCAGGUGCUUCCUCAUUCUCUUUUAAAACCCACUUCCCGCUGAGUCUGCACCCAGGAGACCAGAGAGCACCUUGCCCUUCCAUGGAAACUCAGGCCGAUCUCGUAUCUCAGGAACCUCAGGCCCUGCUUGACAGUGCUCUUCCUUCAAAAGUUCCUGCCUUUUCCGACAAGGACAGCCUGGGGGAUGAGAUGUUGGCGGCUGCACUCCUAAAGGCCAAGUCCCAGGUGAGCUGUGGUUCCCUUCAUCCUUUUCAAUUUUCUGUGCAAUGACAUCCCAUUCAGAGCUUUAAACCCUGAUCUCCUCCAUCAGGCCCAUGGUUCUGUCCUGCCGAAUCAUGGACCCUCACCUUCCAUCUUGGACUCCUGUCUCUCUUCCUCCACCCUGUCCUCCUUUCCUCCCUUCCCAAAUGUGCAUUUUUCACCCCAUCCUCAGUGAUUUUUUUGG
rnacentral:sRNA from 1 species